GCCAGCCAGCGGGGCCGCGCUGCCCCUCGGACAGAAAAGGGGAGCCGUGUGCGUGGCCCGAGCGAUUCCGCCCCCCGGCGCCCAGACACGGGCUCGUCUUUCCGCUGGGCGGGGGAGGGCGGGAGCCGCCGCUGCCCGGGGUGGGGGGAAGACAGCGGCUUCGGUGUAGAAAAAUUACAGUGCAAAAGCUCCUGCCAUCUAAGAUCCAUUAUUUAAGAAGUUAUAUGUCGACAGAGAUGAUACUACAAACUAAUCGGGUCAUUUUCUUGCUGAAAGACUGGGAGCCCUUUAGAGCGUAAAGAACCAAAACUCUGAUUCAGCCAAUACAAGGCCCCAACUCCAGGAAACUUCAAACAUGCCAAUGGACGGCAGCCCGAGGAGCGACACGUUUUGUGAAUUCCCAUUGCGGUACUGCCCCGUCUCAGCAGUGCAUGGUUCGCCUGAAGCAUCGCUGACCACCCCACCUGAGCAGUGGUUUCAUAACAUCAUG
rnacentral:lncRNA from 1 species